GAAGGAGCAAUCCGAGUAGAGCGGCGCACGGGUGCGUAACACGUGGAUAAUCUGCCCUUGAAUUCGGGAUAACCUUCCGAAAGGUUGGCUAAUACCGGGUAAGCUCACGGUGACUUCGGUCGCUGUGGGAAAAGUAGACCUCUGUUUACAAGUUUACGUUUGAGGAUGAGUCCGCGGCCCAUCAGCUAGUUGGCGGGGUAAUGGCCCACCAAGGCUACGACGGGUAGCUGGUCUGAGAGGACGAUCAGCCACACUGGAACUGAGACACGGUCCAGACUCCUACGGGAGGCAGCAGUGGGGAAUUUUCCACAAUGGGCGAAAGCCUGAUGGAGCAACGCCGCGUGUGUGAUGAAGGUCUUCGGAUCGUAAAGCACUUUCGACCGGGACGAAAAACCUCUGGCUAACAUCCAGGGGCCUGACGGUACCGGGAGAAGAAGCACCGGCUAACUCUGUGCCAGCAGCCGCGGUAAUACAGAGGGUGCAAGCGUUGUUCGGAAUUAUUGGGCGUAAAGCGCGUGUAGGCGGCUUGGCAAGUCAGAUGUGAAAGCCCAUGGCUUAACCAUGGAAGUGCGUCUGAAACUGCUGAGCUUGAGUGCCGGAGAGGAUGGCGGAAUUCCGCAAGUAGAGGUGAAAUUCGUAGAUAUGCGGAGGAACACCGGUGGCGAAGGCGGCCAUCUGGACGGCAACUGACGCUGAGACGCGAAAGCGUGGGGAGCAAACAGGAUUAGAUACCCUGGUAGUCCACGCUGUAAACGAUGAGAACUAGGUGUCGUGGGUGUUGACCCCCGCGGUGCCGUAGCUAACGCAUUAAG
rnacentral:rRNA from 1 species